rnacentral:rRNA from 1 species
AACGAACGCUGGCGGCAGGCCUAACACAUGCAAGUCGAACGCCGUAGCAAUACGGAGUGGCAGACGGGUGAGUAACGCGUGGGAACAUACCCUCCGGUUCGGAAUAACUCAGGGAAACUUGAGCUAAUACCGGAUACGUCCAAGGUUUUAAUCGGCCUUGGAGAAAGAUUUAUCGCUGGAGGAUUGGCCCGCGUCUGAUUAGCUUGUUGGUGAGGUAAUGGCUCACCAAGGCGACGAUCAGUAGCUGGUCUGAGAGGAUGAUCAGCCACAUUGGGACUGAGACACGGCCCAAACUCCUACGGGAGGCAGCAGUGGGGAAUAUUGGACAAUGGGCGAAAGCCUGAUCCAGCCAUGCCGCGUGAGUGAUGAAGGCCUUAGGGUUGUAAAGCUCUUUUACCCGGGAAGAUAAUGACGGUACCGGGAGAAUAAGCCCCGGCUAACUUCGUGCCAGCAGCCGCGGUAAG